GACGAACGCGGCGGCGUGCUUAACACAUGCAAGUCGAACGGUAAGGCUCUUCGGAGUACACGAGUGGCGAACGGGUGAGUAACACGUGAGCAACCUACCCUUGACACUGGAAUAAGCGCUCGAAAGGGCGUCUAAUACCGGAUAUUACUUCUUCAGACAUCUGAUGAAGUGGAAAGCUCCGGCGGUCAAGGAUGGGCUCGCGGCCUAUCAGCUAGUUGGUGAGGUAACGGCUCACCAAGGCUUCGACGGGUAGCCGGCCUGAGAGGGCGACCGGCCACACUGGGACUGAGAUACGGCCCAGACUCCUACGGGAGGCAGCAGUGGGGAAUAUUGCACAAUGGGCGCAAGCCUGAUGCAGCAACGCCGCGUGCGGGAUGACGGCCUUCGGGUUGUAAACCGCUUUCAGCACCGACGAAGCGAAAGUGACGGUAGGGCAGAAGAAGACC
rnacentral:rRNA from 1 species